GGCCUAGGGUCCCUGGUGCACAGUGAGGUCAGAGAAGUAGAUAGAAGUCUGAUGGGGAAUGCGUUGUUGGCCAGAAAGCACGGGAAGCCACCAAGGAUGUUCAGUGGGGGAUGGGACAGCACAAUCUGGUAGGCGGAGGAAGGAUCUCAGGGCUAUGUGCAGGUUUAACCCUCGUCCAUGCAGCUUACCAUUGUUUCCUGAGCACUGACAGUGGCCUGGGCCCAAGGCCACCUAGAGGAAAGCCGCAGAGCCCACCCGCAAGGCACUUUGGGUCUGGGUUGAAGCUCAGGAAAGAGAGGUGGGAGGUGAUGCUCCAGGGCCACACAGCUGGAAGUGUCAGGCGGGCUUUGCAGGCAGGUUCCCAUGCUUCCAGACACAGCCGUGGUCUGCAUUUUCUUCUCUGUGCUUAGCAGAGCGUCUCGCACACAGUAGCUGUCUGUAAACCUUUGCAGUGGACGGUUCAGAGUUUACGCAUGAAUGACCCAGGCCUCCCGGGGGCUGAAAGCUCCCUCUCCCCUCCUUGAGGUUAGAGGUGAUGGCUCAGGAAGCCUCCACAGGCGGUGGUGGCUGCACUUUCCCCUGCACUUGUCAGAUUUCAUAAGCCAAGGUUGCGUCAAGUCAGUAGGUGGGGAAGCCUCAAAUACAGCAUUGAUCCACACGGACCUGCAGCCCACAGACCAGCACUCGGUUCCCCUGCUCUGCACAGCCAGAGGGUCUGGGCGCUGCUUAGAGGUGUGAACUAGGGGAGUCAGAGGGAUGGGAGUUCAAAUCCUGCCUCUGCCCCAUGCCAACUAUUAGGUAACUUUCUUAACCUCUUCAAUAAUAACAGCAAUGCUAAUAAUAAUAACUGAUCAUAUGACUGCCAGUUUUUGAGCACUUAUUAAAUGCCAGGCACUGGGCUAUGCGAAGCAGGUGACACAUGUUCAUCCAUUGAAGCCUCA
rnacentral:lncRNA from 1 species